rnacentral:rRNA from 1 species
AGGGCACCACCAGGAGUGGAGCCUGCGGCUUAAUUUGACUCAACACGGGGAAACUCACCAGGUCCAGACAUAACUAGGAUUGACAGAUUGAUAGCUCUUUCUUGAUUUUAUGGGUGGUGGUGCAUGGCCGUUCUUAGUUGGUGGAGUGAUUUGUCUGGUUAAUUCCGAUAACGAACGAGACCUUAACCUGCUAAAUAGUCAGGCCGGCUUUUGCUGGUCGCGGACUUCUUAGAGGGACUGUCGGCGUCUAGCCGACGGAAGUUUGAGGCA